AGAGUGAACGCUGGCGGUAGGCCUAACACAUGCAAGUCGAACGGCAGCACGGUAAGAGCUUGCUCUUAUGGGUGGCGAGUGGCGGACGGGUGAGGAAUACAUCGGAAUCUACCUUUUGGUGGGGGAUAACGUAGGGAAACUUACGCUAAUACCGCAUACGCCCUUCGGGGGAAAGCCGGGGACCAGCAAUGGCCUGGCGCUGAUAGAUGAGCCGAUGUCGGAUUAGCUAGUUGGUGAGGUAAUGGCUCACCAAGGCGACGAUCCGUAGCUGGUCUGAGAGGAUGAUCAGCCACACUGGAACUGAGACACGGUCCAGACUCCGUACGGGAGCAGCAGUGGGGAAUAGUUAGGACAAUGGGACGAAAGCCUAGAUCCAGCCAUGCCGCGUGUGUGAAGAAGGUCGUUCGGAUUAGUAAAGCUAACUUUUAAGGUU
rnacentral:rRNA from 1 species